UGGAUAGAUUAUUAUAUUCGACUGUAUUCACGGCGUGAAAUAGGGGAUUACACUAUUUUUAAACGGAAAGUGAAUCAAUUAACAUAAUAGACUCCU
rfam:Nicotiana attenuata strain TT chromosome 9, whole genome shotgun sequence.